rnacentral:rRNA from 1 species
AUUGAACGCUGGCGGCAGGCCUAACACAUGCAAGUCGAGCGAGCGGCGGACGGGUGCGUAAUGUAUGGGGCUCUGCCCGAUGGAGGGGGAUAACUACUGGAAACGGUGGCUAAUACCGCAUACUAUCGGAUGAACCCAUAUGGGAUUAGCUAGUAGGUGGGGUAAAGGCUCACCUAGGCGACGAUCUCUAGCUGGGCUGAGAGGAUGAUAAGCCAACAUGGAACUGGGAAACGGCCCAGACGCCUACGGGAGGCAGCAGUGGGGAAUAGUGCACAAUGGGAGCAAGCCUGAUGCAGCAAUGCCGCGUGUAUGAAGAAGGCCUUCGGGGUGUAAAGUACUUUCAGCGGGGAGGCGUUACCCGCAGAAGAAGCACCGGCUAACUCCGUGCCAGCAGCCGCGGUAAUUC